AUUUGAUAUUUUUCCGUGGUAUUAAACUUCGCAUUCCACUGUUAUUAGUAAUAUAACUUCUAAUGCCAACUACCAAACAUGACACUUACAAAUUAAUACAAUUUAUGAACGCACAUAGAAAAGAAAGAAAGUAGGGAUUUUUUUUUUUCAUUGUUUUAUUUAUUUAGUUAUUUUUUUAUACUGAACAAACACUUACACAAUGGAUUUGUUUUCUCCAUACUGUUCAUCUAACAAGUCUCUGUCUGCUUUUCUCUCCAGCAGUUUGUGUCCAUUAUUCUCUCUGUUCUGCUGGUUUUUGCUCGUCUGUGGUUUCUGACGCUCCAACAGUUUUCUCCUUUCUACACUUCAUUUGUAUCAGUGUAAAGUCAUCCAAGUCAAGAUGCCACCAUUCACAUAUCCAGCCAUAAACACAUAUUUAUACCAGUUUGAUCAGGCUCCGAAAAUUCUUCAAAAAGAACACAAAGAAUGGCCUUCAGCUGCCACAGUUGCAACUCUUGUGUCAUCAGAACAAUGUGUUCAACGCACCACCGUUUCUGUUUAACAAACGUUUUGCAAUGUUUUGUUGGGGCUGAACGCAGCUCUAGAGUCUCUAGUCAUGUGACAUGUACAACUCAUGUGAUUGGCUCAAAUCAGUCGAGCAGCAGAAUGACUUCAUACAUCAAGACAACAUCCAAAAACUGUAAAAUAGAACACUGUCUUGAAUAUAAAGUUAAUAUUACUGAUUGUUUGCUAGUGUACAGACAUAGAUGUACAGUAUGCAAAAAAGUUUUAUAAGAUAAUUAACAAAUAUGACUACAUAAAUAUUUGCAUGAAUGUCUUGUAUUAUAUUAUAUAGGGUUUUGACGUGACAAUCUCACCUCUGUUUUAAUGUCAGAAUGAGACCUCACAUGUCCGUCUGGAUCAUCUGACACUAGAAAUCACAAACAUAUAUCAGAUUAUCCUCAUUGUUUUUGAUUUGUUUUUAUGUUCUCAAUCUAUAAUACAUCACUUACACACGCCUGUAAAAAUUCAUCUGUGACGGCAGAACGGCAGUUCUGUCUGAAUGUGGUGCUUUAUGACAGAAUUGUUAAGACAAUAAUAGUAUCUGUAGCAGGACCACACUAAACACAAACUUGCGGUUCGGCUUUAGUUUCUACAUACUCCCACGUCUCUGUCUGCUUUUCUCUCCAGUAGUUUGUGUUUCAUUUCUGGCCUCCGUUUUUCUCUGUUCAAUUUAGAGAUCAGUUUAAAAAUGGUUAAUGAUCAGUGUGCAAUACAGGUUGACUAUAACAGAAGCAAAUGUUCUGAUUUAAAUGAUAAAAAUCUCUUUACAAAACAAAUAAAUAUACAGUGUUUUAAUCACCUUGUGAUGAGAAGAAAAGAGGAACCCUCCACCACAGCUCUGAGAUCUCUGCUGAUAAUAUGAUCUCUUUCAGUUCAGAAAGACACUUUUAGUUUGAACUGAACUCCUUGAACUGUAAUCUCACUUCAUAAUAUUGUAUAUCUGUAAGAUUACUCAUGC
ensembl:lncRNA